rnacentral:lncRNA from 1 species
GUGAAUCUGGGAAUAGGAGGCACUUUGAAGCACAUCAUUUGGAUCACCAUAUUGUCGGAAAUGCAGAAUUGUUGGAAAGCAGAUUACAAGAGGAGAAUUCACCCAGCAUGUUUAAGUGGCCUUAUGGAGAGGCCAGGGGACAAGGAACUGAGAGAGGUCUCCAGCCAACAGCCAGCAAGCAACUGAGGUCCAACAACUUGUGAGUAGCUAAGUCCUUCUAACAACCACGUGGAUGAGCUUGGAAGCAGACUGUCAAGCCUUCGGAUGAGACCACAGCCCUGGACAACAACUUGACUGAAACCUGUGAGAGACCUUGAGGCAGAGGUGCUCAGCUACACUGUGACAAAACUCCUGAUCCACAGAUACUGUGAGAUAAUAAAUGUUUCUGACAUACAAAAGCCUCUAAGUUUUGGGGUCAUUGUUACAUAACUACAUGUCCAGUGUGGGUUGGGAAGGGGUGCUUGCAGGCACCCAGGCUGGUAAAGGCUCUAUCUCAACACCUGUUUCCAUGGUCACCAUAACAGACGAGGAAUUGCAUGCUGGUACUUAAAACUCCAACUCAAAAGUGACACACACCACUGUUACUUGUGUUUCAUUGGCCAAAUGAAGUCACAUAGUCACACCUAACUUCAAAGGGGGUGGAAGGAAAAGUAAUGGAAUAUGUGUGAACAGCACUGAUGAUUCCCAUAAUAAAAUCUGCCCUGAAGGAUUGUUGUGGGGACAAUGCAUUAAACUGCUGUCUCAGGAUGCUUGCAGCUACACGUGAGAGGAAACACCAUAUGAAUGUAUACAAUAAAGGCUUAAACAACAAAGGGAAUUUGUUGGCUCAUAUUUUUUGGCUACAGGAUGGUCUCAGUCACUUCACUUGGUGAAGAUAUUUCAGUGACGAAUCUGCAAACGUCUACUGGAUCUGAAAAUGCUUUGUAAAUGGAAAAGGCUGGACAAAG